rnacentral:rRNA from 1 species
CAAUAGCGUAUAUUAAAGUUGUUGCGGUUAAAAAGCUCGUAGUUGGAUUUCUGCCGAGGACGACCGGUCCGCCCUCUGGGUGAGUAUCUGGCUUGGCCUGGGCAUCUUCUUGGAGAACGUAGCUGCACUUGACUGUGUGGUGCGGUAUCCAGGACUUUUACUUUGAGGAAAUUAGAGUGUUUCAAGCAGGCAUGCGCCUUGAAUACAUUAGCAUGGAAUAAUAAUCUAGGACUUCGGUUUUAUUUUGUUUGGUUUCUUAACACUGAAGUAAUGAUUGAUAGGGAGUAGUUGGGGGUGGCUAGUAUUGGCCGGCCAGAGGUGAAAUUACUUGGAUUCGGUCAAGACUAACUUAUGCGAAGACAUUCACCAAGGAUGUCUUCUUUAAUUCAAGAACGAAAGUUGGGGGAUCGAAGACGAUCAGAUACC